CCACAGCUGCGGGCCUACACCACGGCCACAGCAACGCAGGAUCCGAGCCGCGUCUUCGACCUACACCACAGCUCACCGCAACGUCAGAUCCUUGAUGCAGUGAGCGGGGUCAGGGAUUGAUCCCGCAUCCUCAUGGAUACUAGUUGGGUUCGCUCUGGCUGAGCCGCACAGGAAGUCCCUGUUAUCUGUAGAAAUUUUAAUGAUGGCCAUUCUCACCAGUGUGAGGUGAUACCUAAUUGUGGUUCCGAUUUGCCUUUCUCUAAUAAUUAGCAAUGUUGAGCAUCUCUUCUUGUGCUUUUUUGCCAUCUGUAUGUCUUCUUUGGAGAAAUGUCUAUUUAGAUUUUCUGCCCAUUUUUUGAUUGGGUUUUUUUAAUAUUCAGUUGUAUGAGCUGUUUGUAUAUUUUAGAAAUGAAGCCCUUAAUUGUCACGUCAUUUGCAAAUAUUUUUUUCCAUUUCUGUAGGUUAUCUUUUCAUUUUGUUGAAGGUUUCUUUUGCUGUGCCAAAGCCUUAAAGUUUGAUUAGGUCCCGUGUGUGUAUUUUUGCUUUUGUUUCUAUUGCUUCUGGAGGCCAACCUAAAAAAAAACAUUGCUACGAUUUGCGUUGGAGAAUAUUUGGCCUGUGUUCUCUUCUAGGAGUGCUAUGGUGUCGCGGCUUAUGUUUAAGUCUUCAAGCCAUUUUAAGUUUACUUUUGUGUCUGGAGUGAGGAGUGGUCUACUUUCACUGGUUUACAAGAGGCCGACCAGCCCCCUGACACCACUUGCUGAAGAGCCGGCCUUGUCUCCGUGGCGUCUUCCGCCUCCUUUGUCAAACAGCACUUGAUCGUAGAUCAGCUCCUCUUUCUGGCCUUGACAUGCCGAACGAGAAACCCCUGGCCUCAUCCGAACCCUGUGGGUGUAUUUUCACCCCAAACUCGGAUUUCAAUCAGAGAACCACUCUCCUGAGGAACGCCGUUGAUGGGGAAGUGAGCGCACAGGGCCUCCCCCGGGAGCGGAGCCCUGCGACGCCUCCGUCCGACUCUGCUCCUGGCCUCAGACGCUGCCAAGCGGAGCCCGUUCCUUUGUUUCCCGCCUCUCGUCCAGCGCAGCCCUUCUCCUCCUUGCCAAGGAGACUGAGUUCCGCGUGACGUGGCUGAGGUCCCUCCUCGGUGCCUCUGGGCCCUGUCCUUUCAGAGCCGGGUCGGCAUUUUCCAAGUGCUCUUCCUCCUCGCAGGAGAUGCAGCAAAGAGCGGUGCUGUCUUCUUAAACUACUGAUGGUUUUUCGAAAACUUUUUUUUGAUACCACCUUCCAGAUCUGUCUGUGGUUUCUAAAAAUGUGACUGUUACUGUGCAGUUAAAUGUCAAACCAUCUUUAUUGCUUCCUGGAUGCCUAAAAUACCAAAGGUUUGGUUUCUUACCUGAUCACCCAUUGUCCUUCAAAUUCAGGAGGGACAGUAGAUUGAUUCGGUGUGUCUGCCAUGCUCCGUAUUUCUUAAUUGGCUUAAUAGUAUUGUAAGAUAUGCAUUUAUAUUAAGCUCACAAAAUAGGACAGGCUGUCCUAUCAAAAAAUAAUGUUCCAUCUUCCCUAUGUUCCUCUUUUAACAUAGCCUUGUCAGUAUCCCCAUGUCCACAGCAUAUUCUUAGCCUUGAGGCCACGCUGACAAAACCCACAACCCGAUAGGAUUUCACUCUCCUUUAUUCUGAUGUAGUUGUUUCGUAAAUUAACAGAGGCUUCUUUCUCAUCAGCAUCAGGUAGUUUUACUUGCCCGCAUGCUCGCCUCAAGACUUCAACAAAGGACAGUCCCAGGGACUUGGGAAGGCCCCCCCCCAGUAGCUUUACCUGGCAUGGUCCCCUGGGCUGGGCUGCUCAAGCUGACCCGGAAUCCAGGCGUCACUAUGCGGAGUACGGAGUCAGGAUUGGCAGGACGCUUUACGGGAGGACGUUACUGACCUGGGAUGUGCGAGUCGGGAGUAAACCGCACCAGCGAGUACAUUAGUGAGGGAACGUGGUUGUGGACUCUGGUUAUUUGUUGAGACUAUUGUUCUGUUCACGGUUUUAUAUUUGCUGUGCCUCUGAGGAUGUGCUUUUAUUCUUUUCUGCUUUCUUCUUGAUCUAGCGCUAGUUUAGCAAGCUGUGCUUAUGCAGACUAACAGGAAUUUGUCUGGAGGCUCCACCCACAGCACAUGAGAAUUCCUGGGCUAGGGAUGACACCCCUGCCAUGGCAGUGACCCAAGCCCCUGCAGUGACAAAGCUGAUCCUUAACCCGCUGCGCCACAAGAGAACUCCUAAAAGGAAAUAUUUUUAUUUUAUUAUUAUUAUUUUUUUUUUGUCUUUUUGCUAUUUCUUGGGCCGCUCCCGCGGCAUAUGGAGGUUCCCAGGCCAGGGGUCCAAUCGGAACUGCGGCCGCCAGCCUAUGCCAGAGCCACAGCAACGCAGGAUUCGAGCCGUGUCUGCAACCCACACCACAGCUCAUGGCAACGCCGGAUCGUCAACCCACUGAGCAAGGGCAGGGACCGAACCCGCAACCUCAUGGUUCCCAGUCAGACUCGUCAACCACUGUGCCAUGACGGGAACUCCAUGGAAAUAUUUUUAAAUGACAUUUUGUUCCCAAUGAUCCUUCGGAAUUUGAGCAAAUACUUUCACGGAGCCCCCAGCAAUGUAAUUAUUUGCAAAGAGUAAUUGCCACGAUUCAAAGAAAUUACUCUUAAGCUUCAUCGGGAUGCACUUGGACAAGUAUAUUAUACAAACAAAUCCAUCCAAAGAGUUUUUUUUUUAAUAUU